UGAAGCCCCGUUCACACUACAAGCGACACGUAACGUCAAAGCAACACGAUCCCAUUCAUUCCAAUGGAGAGCUGGUGAUUUCCGGCGACAAGAGUGACAGAGGCCGUUGGUGACUGGAUGGGGCAUGUCCAGCGAUGCGACAAAGUUCAGAAUCCUUCAACUUUAUGCAAAUGAAGAGCGACUUUCGGGAGCAACAGCCAGUAGGAAAGAAGAUGGUAGAGCUCAUGUGAUCGUUCUCCUCUCAGCCGUAGAUAAACAUAUGCAAUGGGAAAAACGGCAAGAAACCUGAUUCGCUGUGAAGGCAACCAGUAGUGAGAACGCCCAAGCAACCUCAUCGCCAGCCCGUGAACGCAGCUUGAUUACUGGCCACUUGGAGGAGGAUUGUCCUUUAUCUGCUACACUGCACUGUCACUUCUGACAAAAAGAUAUUUUGAAGAAUGGUG